UACGUAGGUGGCAAGCGUUGUCCGGCAUUAUUGUGCGUAUAGCGCGCGCAGGCGGUCCCUUGAGGCUGAUGUGAAAGCCCACGGCUCAACCGUGGAGGGUCAUUGGAAACUGGGUGACUUGAGUACAGAAGAGGAGAGUGGAAUUCCACGUGUAGCGGUGAAAUGCGUAGAUAUGUGGAGGAACACCAGUGGCGAAGGCGACUCUCUGGUCUGUAACUGACGCUGAGGCGCGAAAGCGUGGGGAGCAAACAGG
rnacentral:misc_RNA from 1 species